CUACGUGCCAGCAGCCGCGGUAAUACGGAAGGUCCAGGCGUUAUCCGGAUUUAUUGGGUUUAAAGGGAGCGUAGGCUGGAGAUUAAGUGUGUUGUGAAAUGUAGACGCUCAACGUCUGAAUUGCAGCGCAUACUGGUUUCCUUGAGUACGCACAACGUUGGCGGAAUUCGUCGUGUAGCGGUGAAAUGCUUAGAUAUGACGAAGAACUCCGAUUGCGAAGGCAGCUGACGGGAGCGCAACUGACGCUUAAGCUCGAAGGUGCGGGUAUCGAACAGGAUUAGAUACCCUGGUAGUCCGCACAGUAAACGAUGGAUGCCCGCUGUUGGUACCUGGUAUCAGCGGCUAAGCGAAAGCAUUAAGCAUCCCACCUGGGGAGUACGCCGGCAACGGUGAAACUCAAAGGAAUUGACGGGGGCCCGCACAAGCGGUGGAGUAUGUGGUUUAAUUCGACGCAACGCGAAGAACCUUACCAGGUCUUGACAUUGAUGGACAGAACUAGAGAUAG
rnacentral:rRNA from 1 species